AUGCAACCGUACCAAACGACAGCUUUUGUUCUUAAGCAAGCAAUCAAGCUCACCACCAAGUACUAUGGCCCUUAUAGAAUCUUGCAGAGGAUUGGUCAUGUCGCAUACAAGCUGCAGAUGCCUCCGAAUGUGGGAAUUCACCCAUUUUUCCAUGCAAGUCAACUAAAGAAACACAUGGGAACACAUGCAGUCCCAAGUCCAGAUCUGCCUCUAGUUGGACCAGAUGGCAAAAUCAAGACUGAACCACUCGGAGUACUUGAAACACGUUCUUUGCCCAGAAUUGGAGUUCUUGUUACCCAAUGGCUCGUCGAAUGGGAGAAUCUUACACUAGAGGAAGCUACCUGGGAGGACGCCAACUUCAUGAAACAGGUCUUCCCAGCCUUCUACACAAGCACGAUCAAAAGUUGGUUCCCAGACAAACAUACUUGA
rnacentral:rRNA from 1 species